UACGAAGGGUGCAAGCGUUAAUCGGAAUUACUGGGCGUAAAGGGUGCGUAGGCGGUUCGUUAAGUCUGUCGUGAAAUCCCCGGGCUCAACCUGGGAAUGGCGAUGGAUACUGGCGAGCUAGAGUGUGUCAGAGGAUGGUGGAAUUCCCGGUGUAGCGGUGAAAUGCGUAGAGAUCGGGAGGAACAUCAGUGGCGAAGGCGGCCAUCUGGGACAACACUGACGCUGAGGUGCGAAAGCCAGGGGAGCAAACGGG
rnacentral:rRNA from 1 species